AGAUUUAAAUAUGACUUUAAUAACUGAAUAAAUACUUUUCUUCUACAAAAAUAUAGAGAGACACUCUCGUUGAAUAUUGUUUUAGUAACGUAUGGGUAAGAUUUUCUAAACGAAGUGUGGCAACCCCAAUUACUUAAUAAAAAAUAAAUAUGUUAUAAAAUGAAAAUGGCGUCAUUUCACCAAAUAAAACACGAAUUCACGAAUAAUAAAAUAAAUGUUUGCCACGGCCUGUUAAUAUUUAUGAAGACCUCUUCAUGGAUUGGAUUUAAGCAACCUGCUGUGUAAUAUCCUCGCCAUUCUUGAUGUUGAGAAGAUCUAUAAGUCUUUUGCGUUUCAUCUGAGUGUUGUGGUUUUUCAUUAUGUUAAAAAUAAGACUUUGUUAGUUCAAGUGUCUCUAUAACUAUGAAGAAGAACAAAAGAAAAUGCUUUGAGUGUGGUUCUUCGCCUGCCGAUGAUCCAGAGAAGACCCUACAGAGAUUACAGAAAUUUGAUUCUACAAAUUUAGUCUCCGUAAUGUCCAGAUAAUCAAUGAUUAGACUAUUGGACUUUUAGAAUAAAUUUUACAUUGAACUAUGAAUGGUUUGUCAUCUACAUUUUUAAAAAAGACGAGAUGUUUUGCCUGUAAGAACAAGAGAGAGAGAGAAUAAGAAGCAAUCCUGCUUCUUCACAUGAAUUUUACCCGCAUGACGACGGUUUUUAAUAUAAAAAAUAUUUACACAAUGUCUCAAAAAGCAAUCAAAGCUUUCAAAAAUAAACAAUGUUCGCAGAAGUUCAGUACCAACAAACUCACAAAAAAUGAGUUCAAAAUUUAGCAUUACUUGCAAGCCAGACUAAGAAAUUUCAAGAAGAUAAUUUAAAAGAAGACAAUAGAAUAAAAUAAUAUUAACACACAAUGCUUAGCAAAUAUAGCAUUAACAGAUGGAAACCAGGCAAUAGGUGUAGCAAAAUAGAAGAUGAAGGUCUAGCUGUGCCAGUCAGUGCUGAGCCACACAGUUGCUGCUGGCAUGUUUGCAAAAUAUCACAAGGUGUAGCAAAAUAGAAGAUGAAGGUCUAGCUGUGCCAGUCAGUGCUGAGCCACACAGUACAGUUGCUGCUGGCAUGUUUGCAAAAUAGCAGAAGGUGUAGCAAAAUAGAAGAUGAAGGUCUAGCUGUGCCAGUCAGUGCUGAGCCACACAGUUGCUGCUGGCAUGUUUGCAAAAUAUCACAAGGUGUAGCAAAAUAGAAGAUGAAGGUCUAGCUGUGCCAGUCAGUGCUGAGCCACACAGUUGCUGCUGGCAUGUUUGCAAAAUAGCAGAAGGUGUAGCAAAAUAGAAGAUGAAGGUCUAGCUGUGCCAGUCAGUGCUGAGCCACACAGUUGCUGCUGGCAUGUUUGCAAAAUAGCACAAGGUAACCUGCUUCAUCGUUAUUAUCAACCUAUUUUAACGACACUACAGAGCCAGACCUUAUAGAAAAGGGGUUAGGGAGCUUAGACCCACCACACUGCUACAAUAAAGGUUGGUGAGCUAAGGGAGAUAAAGUGAAAUUCAUUGUGGAUCACUAUCAGAUGUUAAUGAUAAUGACCUGGACGAGGCGCGGGAGUGUAAUACAAACAACUUACCAACUCCAGGCUGAGAACUGUAAAUUUCUUGGAAGAAAGAAAAACUCAGUAUCUGAUAGCCUGACCCAGGAUUCGAAGCCACGACCUCGUUAUCCAAAACCACAUUGGCUAACCAAUAUUAUAAUACUAGCGGACGCCCGCGAUUUCAACCGUGUGAUGUUCAGUUUUUGAACAUCCAGCGGGAACCAUGUUUCUGGGAUAAAAAGUAACCUAAAUAUUGCUCAAUAACUUCCUCUAUCUUCCAAUGAAAGUCCAAUUAAAAUCGGUUCAGCCGUUCCAAAGAUUAUCCCAGAGAAACAGAAACACAGACAGACAAAAAAUUUAAAAGACCUUGUUUGCAUUUUAGUAUUGUGUAUAUAAUUAUAAUCACUUGAAAAAACUAUUGAUAAAUUUCACUAAAAUUAACUUUUAUUCCUGAAAAAAUCAAGGGAGAUUUGUGAAAAACUGUAUUUCACGCGGUCAUUGUUGCUUGCCUCACCCUACUCAACUAAAUUAUUUUAUGAAUGAAUGAAUGAAAUUAUUUUAGUGUACAACAUGAUUUUUUUGAGACGAAUAUCUUACCAACUCAUGGAUUCACCAUGUGGGUGUCCAUCACGUGGCAGAGAGAAAAACGCUGAGCAGAGCUUGGACUUGUGAUCAAUGGACGUAAGGUUAAAGAAUUCCUUGACAAUUGAUUAACACUCCCCUUCUCUGCUCGUGUUGUUCUCCCUGCGUAGUAAGGUCUGCCAAAUUUGGUAACCCAAAUCUGCACUUCUAGAGAGACCAAGGUCUCAAAGCAAAUUAUAGAGAGAUUUUGCUGGUAAUCCUCUCGCACCUCUCUACGGCGUACAGACUAACCAUAUAGCCAUUUUAGUUAGUUCAUUUGUUAGGUCAUAACAUUUAUUCAGUUUUAUACUGUGGUCCUUUGGAAUGUUAGUCUCCCACGGGACAGUAAGCACUACAAGUACUAUG